UACGUAGGGCGCAAGCGUUAUCCGGGAUUAUUGGGCGGAAAGAGCUCGUAGGCGGGUUGUCGCGUCUGCCGUGAAAGCCCGGGGCUCAACCCCGGGUGUGCAGUGGGUACGGGCAGACUAGAGUGCAGUAGGGGAGACUGGAAUUCCUGGUGUAGCGGUGAAAUGCGCAGAUAUCAGGAGGAACACCGAUGGCGAAGGCAGGUCUCUGGGCUGUUACUGACGCUGAGGUGCGAAAGCGUGGGGAGCAAACAGG
rnacentral:misc_RNA from 1 species